rnacentral:rRNA from 1 species
UUGACCUCGAUCAGUAGAUCCCAUA